rnacentral:rRNA from 1 species
AGUGAACGCUGGCGGUAGGCCUAACACAUGCAAGUCGAACGGCAGCACAGUAAGAGCUUGCUCUUACGGGUGGCGAGUGGCGGACGGGUGAGGAAUACAUCGGAAUCUACUUUUUCGUGGGGGAUAACGUAGGGAAACUUACGCUAAUACCGCAUACGACCUACGGGUGAAAGCAGGGGAUCUUCGUACCUUGCGCGAUUGAAUGAGCCGAUGUCGGAUUAGCUAGUUGGCGGGGUAAAGGCCCACCAAGGCGACGAUCCGUAGCUGGUCUGAGAGGAUGAUCAGCCACACUGGAACUGAGACACGGUCCAGACUCCUACGGGAGGCAGCAGUGGGGAAUAUUGGACAAUGGGCGAAAGCCUGAUCCAGCCAUACCGGGUGGGUGAAGAAGGCCUUCGGGUUGUAAAGCCCUUUUGUUGGGAAAGAAAAGCAGCAGGUUAAUACCCCGCUGUUCUGACGGUACCCAAAGAAUAAGCACCGGCUAACUUCGUG